GACAGAGGUGGUACAUUUGAUGGAGAGGUUUACAUAAUCCUGGACUAGGCCGUAUCCUGAGCAGUUGCUGUGGUGGUCAAGGAGGAGUGGAGAGCAUGAGACUGAUCCAUUGACAGACGAGUUCUCGCAUUGAUCUUGAAAGGACAGCCUAUACACCAGCUGGUGACCUCUCCCAGAUGCAGCUUCUCCACGAAGGAUGUCCAGCCUCCGGCACCUAAACUGCAGCUCUGCACAAGACGUUUAACCAUAGGACAAAUGGUCAUGCCCAGCUGAGCCUGGUUUCUCUCUAAGUUUUUUAAUUCUUCAUUUUCGCCAAUUGGUAAAGUUUUUUUUUUUCCUCGCCGCUGUCGCCACUGGCUUGGACUGACAUUUCAGUUUACUACAAUCUUCUAUGUGAAGCUGCUUUGACACAAUCUACAUUGUAAUAGUGCUACAGAAAUGAAGUUGAACCAAAUUACCACCUGAGUUGCUUAAGCUGCUACAACCACCAGAGCUCUUAUUGCUAGGGCUGCCACCACCACCACCAGUUCUGCCAGAUUCUCCUUCACUCUCAGAGCUGCCAGAAUCUCCUUCGCUCCUAGAGGGGCGCUCUGUCACAAGCACCAGCAAUCCAGCAACUGCGGAUCUCAAGACAACUACACACACUAUCG
rnacentral:lncRNA from 1 species